UGGAUAAAAAGAAGUAAAAGGAAAAGUAACGGUGUUUAUAUCUCUCUUCUGUUCUUUGACCUCUCUCUACGCUUUCUCUUCUUUUAAACCUCUUAAAGCUUCGCGUUCAAUUCCAUUUGUUUUUUUUUUUUUGAAAAUUUUCUUUUUAUCUUUCUCGAAUUUGAUCUUUAGCUCAAUCACGGAGCUUAGAUCUAAUAGUAAUCAGGAACAAUGUCUUUUGCUGCGCGGAAUUAUCAUUCACAGGGCAGUACUCUCCACGAUGAUCGUUGCCACACGUUCAAUAGAAACAACUACAAUAAUAACAGGAACAGGAAUAUAAACACGCAUAGGCACAACAGCAACAGCACUAAUAACACCCACAACUACAACUACAACUACAACUACAACAAUAACUGGAAUUAUAACCACGACUUCUCAGGCAAAUUCAGGGACCAUAUUGACAGCGAAAAUAACAAUUAUGUUUACCCUCCUAAUGACGCUCCCUCCUUGAAAAGGAGAAAAUUUAGUGCUGGUACUUGGGAAGAUGUCAGGAGAGAAUUUGUUCAGCCUGUCUCGUAUGAAAGUGCUGCUUCUUCAGCCUAUAACAAUUUAGUCCCUCUUACAAGAUCAAAUGCUGAGACUUCUACAUCUACCAGCUGCAAACGUGACCGCUCGAAAUUGGAAGAUGAUGAUCCAGUGUUUAUGUCCAGGGAUGAGAUUGAAAGACACUCCCCAUCAAGGAAAGAUGGUAUCGAUGCACUGCGUGAGUCACAUUUGCGAUAUUCUUAUUGCGCGUUCCUUCAAAAUCUUGGGGUGCGGCUUGACUUACCACAAACCACCAUCGGCACUGCUAUGGUUUUGUGCCAUCGUUUUUUCGUUCGAAGAUCACAUGCUUGCCACGACAGAUUUUUAAUUGCUACUGCUGCUCUGUUUCUUGCUUCAAAAUCUGAGGAGACACCACGCCCUUUGAACAACAUGUUGAGAGCAUCUUCUGAGAUUCUCCACAAGCAAGAUAUGUCUUUGCUGUCAUACCUGCUCCCUGUUGAUUGGUUUGAACAGUACCGGGAGCGAGUGAUUGAGGCUGAGCAAAUGAUAUUGACAACACUAAAUUUUGAACUUAAUGUGCAGCAUCCAUAUGCUCCUCUUACAUCUGUCCUUAACAAAAUAGGAUUUUCACAAACUGUCUUGGUGAACCUGGCUCUAAACUUGAUCAGUGAAGGGUGAGUUGAUUAUUGUCAUUGUCCUGUACUUCAUUGGCUAUUCAAUUUACAGGUUCUAUCAUAUCAAAUCAGUUAGUUAUAGUAAAGAAAUGAACAAGCUCUCAUGGACCGAGAUACUAUACUAUGAUGCUGAUCAUGCUUCUUUCUUCAGGAAGCAAUUUGAUUUAUUCUGUUGUAAGUUUAUUGUUUUUGGAUCUUUUAAGCGUAUUUCGGCUAAAGACACUCUUAAGGUUUAGGGAGUGGUGUUCCAUCUCUGAUGAUUAGUUCAUGUAGAUUUGGGAUGUGAGUGUUAGAAUCUCAACCAAUUAAAACAUUUCUGGAGAUUUCACGGUACCCGAGCCAUGGAUGAGGAUGCAUUGGGCUUCUUCUUGUUCUCUUUGGAUCAAAAUUGUGGUCUACACAAGAAUAGCGUGCUUGUUAGCUGGCGGAUUGAUAUGCUGUGAAUGGAAAGUUUUUUAAACUUCUGAAGUUGAACUGCUGAUAUGUUAUGGAUCACAUAACUGUGAUUAUAUCCCCCAUCAACCCGGUUAUCUUAUAUAAAGAUAGUCUUAGAACCUGGAGGACCAUUUUCAAUCCAACUCUUUUUGCCCUAUACUUCUAGUUUUUUAGACCGGUUACUUUCUUAUGGUGUUCCUUCAUUCUCAUCUGAAGGGACUUUGGCCACUUGACUAGGAUCUAUGACCAUAGGGUUCUUCCGUCUUUCAUUUUUUCUUUUUGAACCAUUUUGGGCCUUUUGUCUAAUUCAUAAUCGCAAUCUCUCCUUUCUUUUACAUAAAGCUGUUCCAAAUUAGAGCUGUUUCUGAAUUCAAUGUCAUUUAUGACUAGUUCUUUCCCCCCAAAAAAGAGUUCAUAUAUUUGUCCAUUUGUCAAACAAGUAUUGCCAUUUAAUAUGCAGAUAAGAACAGGUUGGGUGGCUGCAUAAUAUGACCAAUUUUAGAUUCAUAUCUAUGGUCUAUGAUGGUACUUGUGUACCUGUUUGGAGUGACCUGACACUUUGUAAUGGUAUGUGGAAUAAGAUCACAUGAGAUAUGAUCCGCUUUGGUCUCCAUUGGCCUCACGGUUUUGUCCCCUUUGUGUUUUUACAAACAUACUGUGUGGGGAUUGGGGGUACAUGUCAAUCUAUGUAUAUUGGCCUCACCAUGAUAGUUCUAGUAGUUGUGUUCAGCUUCUAUGUGGUAGUCGUGUGGACCUAUAUAGUUGGACCAAUUAUUGACCAUGGUGAAGACCUUCAAACUGGAAAACAACUAUGUUGUGAUAUUUCUAUAUUUUAAAUGGAUUACCCAAUACAUUCAUGAGUAUAGACAGAGAUUGUCCAUAUAUUUUUUGAAAAUCUAAAAUGUUAGUUUUAAACUUAAUUAAUAGUGCUCUUGAAAAAAUAUAUUAUAUGCUAUAUACUUGAAGUUAUGCUAUCAUUUCUGCAGUAUUAUUUUGUUUCUUGCCUUCCCCUUUUUUCUUUGAUAUUUGUCUUCUUGCUCCUAUGGUAAUAAAGUAUGAGUUUUUAUUGAAAGAACACUUUUCGCUUAGUACUGUCACCUUUGUUAAUACGCCAGUUUAUUUUAAAAUUUUUACAUGGAUUUUGCAUAAGGAUCGGUGCUAACUACAAAUACCUGAAGCUCAUUUAGCAUGUUUUUUUAUAGCAUUAUGUAGUUAAAAUUAUUAUCCUUCCCAUCCUAUCACUCUAUUUUUUCCAAUUAUUUUAUUUGGUCUCGCCGUUUGAGAGAGCCUGGUUGUGUAGGAUUUCAAGUAGAAAACUUUGUCUAGAAGGCUAUAGAAUAUUAAAACGUCUUCUCUUUAGUUAACUCAAGCUUAUAUUUGAACUAGUUGAAUGAAGUAUGGUCCAUUAGGUGUCUAAGGGAAGAAGUUGGACCAGAAAUUGGGGGAAAAGAAAGGAUAGGAAGCAUCUUCUACUCCUUUGAAUCCUUUGUGAGACAGAGGCUAGUAGAUAACAAAGAAAGGAAAAGGAAAAAAGGGAUUUGGUCAAUGGCUUACAUGAUAGCAGGAUUAAUAAAUUCUCUUUCUUUUUAUGUUACAAUUUGCAAGCUUAUGAAGUCAUCAUAGGUGUAAGUGGAAUGUCUGUAGCUAUUGGAUCAAUAAACUUAACAUGCGUUUAGCUUCUUUCACCUUGCAUUUUUAUUCAUUUAAAACAAUUAUUUUAUGGAGCUAUGCACUAUGCUUGGCAUAAAGUUCGAAAGUUAUAUACUUUAGUUCCUAUUUGGACAAUUGCACAAUAUGAGUAACAUCUUUUGAUUCAAACCUUGAUUGUGUAGACUUCCAGUUCCAAUCAAGCCUAAUUCAUGUAAUGUUAAAAUGUUUUGCCUUGAGAAUUGACUUUUUUGUUGUAGCUGCUUGCAACCAAAUGCCUUAGCAAUUCAGGUAGAAAAUUUUAUUUCUCUUGCGCACACGGAAAUUCCUCUGGUAUUAAGCUACUGCUUUGUUCAGCAAGAACAGAGCCUGAAAGCUUGUAUAUGGGUUGUCCUGUAUUGAUAUAUAUUUUAUAUAUUCAUAAAUUUUUGUAACAUGCAUUUUUAUUUUUCUUUUUUAAUCAUAAAUGUUUGUUUUUCUACUUAGCAUGAUCAUGUUUUCUAUUUCCUAAAGACAACCCAUCUUAGGCCUUGAGCCCCCCCACCCCCUGUUCUUUGAAGCGGAAGGGGAAAAGUCUUGUGGAGUUUAUGGGAUGGGGGAUGAUCACGAUGCAAUCAUUGUGUAGCCUCGAGAACUAAAGCCACUCAAUGGACACCUCCUGUCCAAAAUAAAAGUUAAAACAACAUGAGCUGUUGAGAAAUUUAAAAAUAAUUUCCAUGGAACAUCUGAAAGGACUGUGGAGGGGCUAAGUUAUUCACUCAUGUUUCAGAUGCCCCUAUGAAGCAGGCAUUGA